rnacentral:tRNA from 1 species
ACCUUGUAGCUCAGUGGUUAGAGCUUUGGCCUUGUGAUCGGAAAGCCCCGUGUUCGAAUCUCGCCAGAGGCA